rnacentral:rRNA from 1 species
AAAGCCGUACCACAAACCAACGCAGGUAGACUACAACAAUAUUGUAAGGCCAAGAACAAACUAUUUAUAGGGAACUCGGCAAAAUACGUAAUAGACUUCGGUUAAAAGACGCCUCUAAUAGAGGAAAAUAUAAAAGAUUGCUGCAACUGUUUACCAAAAACACAUGGCCAUGCAAACAAAACAAGUAUAUGGCCUGACACCUGCCCAAAGGCUAUCGGCAAACGGCAGCUGUAACUCUAACGGUUCUAAGGUAGCAAAACCCCUUGACGUUUAAUUGGCGUCGCGCAUGAAUGGUGUAAUGAUGGCAAUAGCUGUCCCAUAAAUAGAUUCUGUGAAUUUGAAUUACCCGUGCAGAUGCGGGUAUUUAAGCACUGGACGAAGAGACCCUAUGACACCUUUACAUGAUGAUAUUCCAAAGAUAAAUAGAUCUUUAUGUGGAAAAAGUAAUACAAUAAUAGAAAAAUGUUUGACUUUGUCGCG